rnacentral:rRNA from 1 species
GUGGGGAAUAUUGCACAAUGGGCGAAAGCCUGAUGCAGCAACGCCGCGUGAGGGACGACGGCCUUCGGGUUGUAAACCUCUUUUAGUAGGGAAGAAGCGAAAGUGACGGUACCUGCAGAAAAAGCACCGGCUAACUACGUGCCAGCAGCCGCGGUAAUACGUAGGGUGCAAGCGUUAUCCGGAAUUAUUGGGCGUAAAGAGCUCGUAGGCGGUCUGUCGCGUCUGCUGUGAAAACUGGAGGCUCAACCUCCAGCCUGCAGUGGGUACGGGCAGACUAGAGUGCGGUAGGGGAGAUUGGAAUUCCUGGUGUAGCGGUGGAAUGCGCAGAUAUCAGGAGGAACACCGAUGGCGAAGGCAGAUCUCUGGGCCGUAACUGACGCUGAGGAGCGAAAGCGUGGGGAGCGAACAGGAUUAGAUACCCCAGUAGUCC